rnacentral:rRNA from 1 species
GACGAACGCUGGCGGCGUGCAUAAUACAUGCAAGUCGAACGGAGCGGCGGACGGGUGAGUAAUGCCUAGGAAUCUGCCUGGUAGUGGGGGAUAACGUCCGGAAACGGGCGCUAAUACCGCAUACUAUCAGAUGAGCCUAGGUCGGAUUAGCUAGUUGGUGGGGUAAAGGCCUACCAAGGCGACGAUCCGUAACUGGUCUGAGAGGAUGAUCAGUCACACUGGAACUGAGACACGGUCCAGACUCCUACGGUAGGCAGCAGUUGGGAAUAUUGGACAAUGGGCGAACGCCUGAUCCAGCCAUGCCGCGUGUGUGCAGAAGUUCUUCGGAUUGUACAGCACUUUAAGUUGGGAGGCGUUACCAACAGAAUAAGCACCGGCUAACUUCGUGCCAGCCGCCGCGGUAAUAC